UAAACUAGGAUUAGAUACCCUAUUAUUUUAAAUGUAAAUUUAAAUACUUAAUUAGUAUUAGUUAUGUUCUUGAAAAUUAAAAAAUUUGGCGGUAUUUUAGUCUUUUCAGAGGAACCUGCUCUAUAAUCGAUAGUCCACGAUAAGAUAAAUUUUUUUUAUUAGCUUACAUAUCGUCGUAGAAAGAAUAUUUUAUUAGAAAUAUAAUGUUCAAUAUUUUUUAUUAAAAUAAAGAUCAGAUCAAGGUGUAGUUUAUACAAAAGGAGAAGUGGGUUACAAUAAAUUUAUUUAAGGAUAAUUUUUUUUAAAAAAAUUUAAAUUAGGAUUUGAUAGUAAUUUUUUAUAUUUAUUUAUAAUGAUUUUAGCUCUAAAAUAUGUACACAUCGCCCGUCGCUCUUAA
rnacentral:rRNA from 1 species